GCUUUUGAAGAUGACGAGCGGCGGACGGGUGAGUAAUGCCUGGGAAUUUGCCCAUUUGUGGGGGAUAACAGUUGGAAACGACUGCUAAUACCGCAUACGCCCUACGGGGGAAAGCAGGGGACCUUCGGGCCUUGCGCUGAUGGAUAAGCCCAGGUGGGAUUAGCUAGUAGGUGAGGUAAAGGCUCACCUAGGCGACGAUCCCUAGCUGGUCUGAGAGGAUGAUCAGCCACACUGGGACUGAGACACGGCCCAGACUCCUACGGGAGGCAGCAGUGGGGAAUAUUGCACAAUGGGGGAAACCCUGAUGCAGCCAUGCCGCGUGUGUGAAGAAGGCCUUCGGGUUGUAAAGCACUUUCAGCGAGGAGGAAAGGGUGUAAGUUAAUACCUUACAUCUGUGACGUUACUCGCAGAAGAAGCACCGGCUAACUCCGUGCCAGCAGCCGCGGUAAUACGGAGGGUGCGAGCGUUAAUCGGAAUUACUGGGCGUAAAGCGUGCGCAGGCGGUUUGUUAAGCGAGAUGUGAAAGCCCCGGGCUCAACCUGGGAACCGCAUUUCGAACUGGCAAACUAGAGUCUUGUAGAGGGGGGUAGAAUUCCAGGU
rnacentral:rRNA from 1 species